CACGUAGGGCGCAAGCGUUGUCCGGAAUUAUUGGGCGUAAAGAGCUCGUAGGCGGUCUGUUACGUCUGCUGUGAAAACCCAGGGCUUAACCCUGGGCUUGCAGUGGAUACGGGCAGACUAGAGGCAGGUAGGGGAGAAUGGAAUUCCCGGUGUAGCGGUGAAAUGCGCAGAUAUCGGGAGGAACACCGGUGGCGAAGGCGGUUCUCUGGGCCUGACCUGACGCUGAGGAGCGAAAGCGUGGGGAGGCGAACAGGAUU
rnacentral:rRNA from 1 species